GUCUUGGACUCUUUUGUGUGUGGGUCACGCGAUGCAGUCCUGUUCGAUUCGUUUUUGUUUUUUUAAGGCUGGGCGUUGUUUGGUAACCUUGGUAAUCAAGAAAACUAUGAAAUCAAAGGUUAUCAGGGUAACCAUAGUAACCUUAGGUUAGAGUAGGUUGAGAAAGGUUAGGGUAGGCAGUGUUUGGUUAGACGAGGGACUGGAAUUCAUGCAGCCGCCAUGUUCUUUAAAGAAAACUUCAAGAGAGGAUUUACAGUUUUAUUUUUCUCUUCAUUAUGUUAGGACUCAGAUUAAAUGGGACUUUCGUUGCCCCCCUUAUUAGGCCUGUUAUAGGUCAUUGUGCCGUUCCUACCUAAGUUCGUGAUAAUCGAUGAGUGGGUUCGAGGGUUGAAGUGGGGCACGCACAUGCACGCACACACAUAUGAACAGGCGAUACGGCAGUCCUUUAAGCUUGAUUAUUACCUUAAUAAAGGAAAGUAGGCUAAACCGGAGAUGGUUAAUCUCAACAAAAUGCCACAAAUGUCGUGUCGAAAUCAAUCUUCAUAUCGUAAUUUUAUAUUCCUUUAUAACCGAGACCAAGGCAGUUGUCAAAAGCAUGCAAGUUUUCGAUUUGGUACUUAAUUUUAUAUGUGAGACUUACAUUAAAUCUUAUAAAUUCGCAUUCUUAAUAAGAUAAAGAUAAUGCACACGCUAGAAUGUUUAACCUACAUUGUCGACGUUUGUUUUUCAGGGUUGUAACGGUCGUGCGGACUUUCCUAUUCAACUUAGUUUUACUCAAGAAAUUUUGUUUUGUUUUCCAUAUCGCCGCCCUCACAAUAAAACAUAUAAUUUCUCAAAUUAAGGAAACUAGGCUUGAAUGCUCUCUAGUACAUAAAAUAUUAACUGAAAUGUUGGAAGAUCUUUCUUGGGGAUGUGAGUUGUUGUUGCAAGUGCGAUGAUGUGUAGAUUUGUGUGUGUGUGUGUGUCCCUGUCCCUCUAAUAACUACGAUAGUCAACAAGGAUUUUUUAAGUUGAUUAAAAACUGGCUUUAUGCGUGACUUCUGACAUGCUCAUUGCAGAUCUGCAUUACAUCAGAGUUUAGAAGAAAAAUCACUGAUAGAAAAUGACAGACAAUAAAAUUCAUGUGACGGAAAAGUAACUUUUUCUGCAUUUAUUCAGAAUAACAAGUUUUCUCAUUUGUGUGUGUUUUGUUAUAUUUAUCAAUCGUAAUGUGAGAUGACGUUUUAUUGAUGGCUUUCAAGUGUGCACUUUUCAUGUGUGUAUUUUUAAAUGUUUUUGUUACGUUUUAAAUCGCAAUGUGGGUCAGUAAUGUUUUAAUACCGAAUCGAAAUUUAAUCUCUAAUAAAAUAAAGUCUGUAUUUGAAACUGCGGAA